GACGAACGCUGGCGGCGUGCUUAACACAUGCAAGUCGAACGGAAAGGCCCUGCUUUUGUGGGGUGCUCGAGUGGCGAACGGGUGAGUAACACGUGAGUAACCUGCCCUUGACUUUGGGAUAACUUCAGGAAACUGGGGCUAAUACCGGAUAGGAGCUCCUGCUGCAUGGUGGGGGUUGGAAAGUUUCGGCGGUUGGGGAUGGACUCGCGGCUUAUCAGCUUGUUGGUGGGGUAGUGGCUUACCAAGGCUUUGACGGGUAGCCGGCCUGAGAGGGUGACCGGCCACAUUGGGACUGAGAUACGGCCCAGACUCCUACGGGAGGCAGCAGUGGGGAAUAUUGCACAAUGGGCGGAAGCCUGAUGCAGCAACGCCGCGUGCGGGAUGACGGCCUUCGGGUUGUAAACCGCUUUCGCCUGUGACGAAGCGUGAGUGACGGUAAUGGGUAAAGAAGCACCGGCUAACUACGUGCCAGCAGCCGCGGUGAUACGUAGGGUGCGGGCGUUGUCCGGAUUUAUUGGGCGUAAAGGGCUCGUAGGUGGUUGAUCGCGUCGGAAGUGUAAUCUUGGGGCUUAACCCUGAGCGUGCUUUCGAUACGGGUUGACUUGAGGAAGGUAGGGGAGAAUGGAAUUCCUGGUGGAGCGGUGGAAUGCGCAGAUAUCAGGAGGAACACCAGUGGCGAAGGCGGUUCUCUGGGCCUUUCCUGACGCUGAGGAGCGAAAGCGUGGGGAGCGAACAGGCUUAGAUACCCUGGUAGUCCACGCUGUAAACGGUGGGUACUAGGUGUGGGGUCCAUUCCACGGGUUCCGUGCCGUAGCUAACGCUUUAAGUACCCCGCCUGGGGAGUACGGCCGCAAGGCUAAAACUCAAAGGAAUUGACGGGGCCCCGCACAAGCGGCGGAGCAUGCGGAUUAAUUCGAUGCAACGCGUAGAACCUUACCUGGGUUUGACAUGGAUCGGGAGUGCUCAGAGAUGGGUGUGCCUCUUUUGGGGUCGGUUCACAGGUGGUGCAUGGCUGUCGUCAGCUCGUGUCGUGAGAUGUUGGGUUAAGUCCCGCAACGAGCGCAACCCUUGUUCACUGUUGCCAGCACGUUAUGGUGGGGACUCAGUGGAGACCGCCGGGGUCAACUCGGAGGAAGGUGGGGAUAACGUCAAGUCAUCAUGCCCCUUAUGUCCAGGGCUUCACGCAUGCUACAAUGGCUGGUACAGAGAGUGGCGAGCCUGUGAGGGUGAGCGAAUCUCGGAAAGCCGGUCUCAGUUCGGAUUGGGGUCUGCAACUCGACCUCAUGAAGUCGGAGUCGCUAGUAAUCGCAGAUCAGCAACGCUGCGGUGAAUACGUUCCCGGG
rnacentral:rRNA from 1 species